rnacentral:piRNA from 1 species
UAAAAAGUAAAAAAUAAUGAUUCCAAGGUGUC